UACGUAGGGUGCAAGCGUUUGUCCGGAAUUAUUGGGCGUAAAGAGCUCGUAGGCGGUUUGUUGCGUCGGCUGUGAAAUCCCGAGGCUCAACCUCGGGUCUGCAGUCGAUACGAGCAAACUAGAGUGUUGCAGGGGAGACUGGAAUUCCUGGUGUAGCGGUGGAAUGCGCAGAUAUCAGGAGGAACACCGAUGGCGAAGGCAGAUCUCUGGGCCGUAACUGACGCUGAGGAGCGAAAGCGUGGGGAGCGAUCCGG
rnacentral:rRNA from 1 species